UUAUAAAUAACAAGCAUUACGGUAAAAACUACCUUUGGUUUGCGACGCAGUGUGUUCUCUUUUUUUUGAAUUAAAUUUCACAGCCAACCUCUUUAUUAAUAAUUUUAGAACAUAUAAAAAUAGCCUCUCUUGACACGUUAAUAAUAAAAAAAAGGAAAAAUGUGUUGAAACCCGAACCCAAAUAAUGAACAAGAACUGAUAGUAAAGUAACGGUGGGUGGGUCAUUUACGUUGUAGAUGUCUAUGGGCUCCAGUAACCACUUAACACCAGGUGGGCUGUGAGCUCACCGACCCAUCUAAGCUAUAAAAAAAAAAAUUAUAAACAAACUUGUGGUUUAAGCAUUAGUACUGGCAGCUAUCAAAGAAAACAAGAAAUACGAUACAAUAUUUUUAAGAUUAAUUUGCAUGGAUACAAGCACCAAACAACAUGAUCGUUGUUGACUCAGGUUUUUCUUCAUAUCUAUAGGCAGCAGUCUACCUCAUCCAAUAAUGUGUUCGGGAUGGAGGUGAUCGCGAAACAGUAUGGAAGAUCGAUUAUACAACUAUAACAUUUUUGAACAUGUGAGAAUGUUAAACGGUUAUCCCAUUUUAACUUUUAAGUUUCGCGCCAAUUUUAUUUGUUUAAUUGUGUAUCUGUGGUGGUCUCGAAUAGAAUUUAUUUAUUUGUGAACUUUUUGCAAAGGUUGUUAACAGAUAACGUUACCACCACGUUAAUUGAAAUAGGAAUUGAUAUUUGCAAUAAUAAAAACUGUAACAAACGAUAA